AUGCCUGGGCAAGAGCGUGGAGGCCCCAGAGUGGGUCUGACGACACUGUUGAUGAAGAUCUUGGCUGUGACCUCUGUGGGAAAUGAGCCAUGGACCAACCAAUAUUCAACAUACCUAAUCUGAUUUACUCAUCACCAGUGAUGACGAUCUUGUCUGUCACUUCUGUGGAUAGAAAGCAACGGGACUCAUGUAAGUAACCACGUUUGUGUUC
rnacentral:lncRNA from 1 species